rfam:Candidatus Aminicenantes bacterium RBG_13_62_12 RBG_13_scaffold_6419, whole genome shotgun sequence.
GGGGGCGAACGGAUUCGACGGAGAUAUUGAGGCUAGGGCUGCAUGCCGAGAUUCCACCUCUCUCGUAAAACGGUGGACACAAGUAAGUGCAGAAACACUGCCCUUAGCUGCCUAACAAUUAGACAGCCGUCUCCCGGGACACUCUCCCGCGGUUCCCGGGGGGCGCCGACCAGCGGGAUAGCGGACCGGACCCGCCCCAGUACCGGCGAGCGAAACCUCACGGGGCUGGCUCCGUGGAUUCCCUCCUCUUCGGAGAAGCGGAGCGAGAGCAGCGGAGAGGAUACGCACGUAGACGCCCUUCGCUGAAUGUCUUCGGACGCGGGUUCGAUUCCCGCCGCCUCCAAAU